rnacentral:rRNA from 1 species
GAUGAACGCUGGCGGCGUGCCUAAUACAUGCAAGUCGAGCGAACAGACGAGGAGCUUGCUCCUCUGACGUUAGCGGCGGACGGGUGAGUAACACGUGGAUAACCUACCUAUAAGACUGGGAUAACUUCGGGAAACCGGAGCUAAUACCGGAUAAUAUAUUGAACCGCAUGGUUCAAUAGUGAAAGGCGGUUUUGCUGUCACUUAUAGAUGGAUCCGCGCCGCAUUAGCUAGUUGGUAAGGUAACGGCUUACCAAGGCAACGAUGCGUAGCCGACCUGGGAGGGUGAUCGGCCACACUGGAACUGAGACACGGUCCAGACUCCUACGGGAGGCAGCAGUAGGGAAUCUUCCGCAAUGGGCGAAAGCCUGACGGAGCAACGCCGCGUGAGUGAUGAAGGUCUUCGGAUCGUAAAACUCUGUUAUUAGGGAAGAACAAAUGUGUAAGUAACUAUGCACGUCUUGACGGUACCUAAUCAGAAAGCCACGGCUAACUACGUG